rnacentral:rRNA from 1 species
AGUGAACGCUGGCGGUAGGCCUAACACAUGCAAGUCGAACGGCAGCACAGUAAGAGCUUGCUCUUACGGGUGGCGAGUGGCGGACGGGUGAGGAAUACAUCGGAAUCUACUUUUUCGUGGGGGAUAACGUAGGGAAACUUACGCUAAUACCGCAUACGACCUACGGGUGAAAGCAGGGGAUCUUCGGACCUUGCGCGAUUGAAUGAGCCGAUGUCGGAUUAGCUAGUGGGCGGGGUAAUGGCCCACCAAGUCGACGAUCCGUAGCUGGUCUGAGAGGAUGAUCAGCCACACUGGAACUGAAACACGGUCCAGACUCCUACGGGAGGCAGCAGUGGGGAAUGUUGGACAAUGGGCGCAAGCCUGAUCCAGCCAUACCGCGUGUGUGAAGAAGGCCUUCGGGUUGUAAAGCCCUUUUGUUGGGAAAGAAAAGCAGCAGGUUAAUACCCCGCUGUUCUGACGGUACCCAAAGAAUAAGCACCGGCUAACUUCGUG